rnacentral:rRNA from 1 species
ACGAACGCUGGCGGCGUGCUUAACACAUGCAAGUCGAACGGGUCUGCCCUGUUUUUUGCGGGGUGGGUCAGUGGCGAACGGGUGAGUAACACGUGAGUAACCUGCCCCUCACUUCUGGAUAACCGCUUGAAAGGGUGGCUAAUACGGGGUGUUCUGGCUGUGCCGCAUGGUGUGGCUGGGAAAGAUUCACUUUUGUGGUGUUUUGGUGGGGGAUGGGCUCGCGGCCUAUCAGCUUGUUGGUGGGGUGAUGGCCUGCCAAGGCUUUGACGGGUAGCCGGCCUGGGAGGGUGGGCGGUCACACUGGGACUGAGAGACGGCCCAGACUCCUGCGGGAGGCAGCAGUGGGGGGUAUUGCACAAUGGGCGGAAGCCUGAUGCAGCGACGUCGCGUGAGGGAUGGAGGCCUUCGGGUUGUGAACCUCUUUCGCCGGUGAAGAAGGUCCUGCUCUUUGUGGUGGGGUUGACGGUAGCCGGGUUAUGAAGCGCCGGCUAACUACGUG